UCUACUGUUUCACUUUGUUACACCUUUGGUGAGCAAAACAGCUAAUAACGUAGCUAAAUACUGACAUUAUCCUCAAUCGAGAUAUAUGUCCGUCGUUUCAGCUCCAACUGAACUUAAAGGUUCAUUUCAGACACACAUAUUCGUGGCCAUUCAGGAUGUAGUGUACUCAGACUGUCUAGCUCUAGCUAAUAACACAGCAUAGUAGGCUAUUGGUUGACAGACAGCCGCUAAUCAGAUCACAUCACCGCCAGAUAAUUAACUAAAGAUGCUGGAAAUGGAGGGACUCGGGCCGAAGAUGGACCCGGAAGAGAUGAAGAGGAAGAUGUGGUGUCUUCGGUCAGGAACUUUCUCCUCUAUGUCGCCCUACUCCGAGUCAAAGCUGGACAGCAUAUGAAUAGAAUCCAUCUUCUCUCACCCUCUACCCUCAAGACCUACAUCACACAAGAUGCUUCAGAAAAACAACAACUGUAACGAAUGUCGCCGGGAUAAGGAGAAGAGGACCAAGGUGCAGCGUGGAACAACCAUGACAACAACAACAAGCUGGUGAAGUUGCUACCCAACAGGAA